rnacentral:rRNA from 1 species
GACGAACGCUGGCGGCGUGCUUAACACAUGCAAGUCGAACGAAGAGCGAUGGAAGCUUGCUUCUAUCAAUCUUAGUGGCGAACGGGUGAGUAACGCGUAAUCAACCUGCCCUUCAGAGGGGGACAACAGUUGGAAACGACUGCUAAUACCGCAUACGAUCUAAUCUCGGCAUCGAGGAUGGAUGAAAGGUGGCCUCUACAUGUAAGCUAUCACUGAAGGAGGGGAUUGCGUCUGAUUAGCUAGUUGGAGGGGUAACGGCCCACCAAGGCGAUGAUCAGUAGCCGGUCUGAGAGGAUGAACGGCCACAGUGGGACUGAGACACGGCCCAGACUCCUACGGGAGGCAGCAGUGGGGAAUCUUCCGCAAUAGACGAAAGUCUGACGGAGCAACGCCGCGUGAGUGAUGACGGCCUUCGGGUUGGAAAGCUCUGUUAAUCGGGACGAAAGGCCUUCUUGCGAAUAGUGAGAAGGAUUGACGGUACCGGAAUAGAAAGCCACGGCUAACUACGUG